GACGAACGCUGGCGGCGUGCUUAACACAUGCAAGUCGAACGGCAAGGCCCUGCUUUUGUGGGGUGCUCGAGUGGCGAACGGGUGAGUAACACGUGAGUAACCUGCCCUUGACUUUGGGAUAACUUCAGGAAACUGGGGCUAAUACCGGAUAGGAGCUCCUGCUGCAUGGUGGGGGGUGGAAAGUUUCGGCGUUUGGGGAUGGACUGGCGGGUGAUCAGCUUGUUGGUGGGGGAGUGGCUUACCAAGCCAUUGACGGGUAGCCGGCCUGAGAGGGUGAACGGCCACAAUGGGACUGAGAUACGGCGCAGACGGGUACGGGAGGCAGCGGGGGGGAAUAUGGCACAGCGGGACGAAGCCUGAGGCAGCAACGCUGCGUGCGGGAUGACCGCCUUCGGGGUGUAAACCGCUUUCGCUUGUGACGAAGCGUGAGUGACGGUAAUGGGUAAAGAAGCACCGGCUAACUACGUG
rnacentral:rRNA from 1 species